rnacentral:rRNA from 1 species
UACGAAGGGGGCUAGCGUUGCUCGGAAUCACUGGGCGUAAAGGGUGCGUAGGCGGCGCCAUAAGUCAUCUGUGAAAUCUCCGGGCUUAACUCGGAGCCUGCAGGCGAAACUGUGGAGCUGGAGUGUGGGAGAGGUGCGUGGAAUUCCCAGUGUAGCGGUGAAAUGCGUAGAUAUCGGGAGGAACACCGGUGGCGAAAGCGGCGCACUGGACCAUAACUGACGCUGAGGCGCGAAAGCUAGGGGAGCAAACAGG